UGGGGAAUAUUGCGCAAUGGGCGAAAGCCUGACGCAGCGACGCCGCGUGAGGGAUGAAGGUUUUCGGAUCGUAAACCUCUGUCAGAAGGGAAGAAACUACGUUGUGCUAAUCAGCAGCGUACUGACGGUACCUUCAAAGGAAGCACCGGCUAACUCCGUGCCAGCAGCCGCGGUAAUACGGAGGGUGCAAGCGUUAAUCGGAAUUACUGGGCGUAAAGCGCACGUAGGCUGUAGUGUAAGUCAGGGGUGAAAUCCCACGGCUCAACCGUGGAACUGCCUUAGAUACUGCACAACUUGAAUCCGGGAGAGGGUGGCGGAAUUCCAGGUGUAGGAGUGAAAUCCGUAGAUAUCUGGAGGAACAUCAGUGGCGAAGGCGGCCACCUGGACCGGUAUCGACGCUGAGGUGCGAAAGCGUGGGGAGCAACCAG
rnacentral:rRNA from 1 species